rnacentral:lncRNA from 1 species
AAUGCAAGUAUAAUGCUUUUGUUUUGUUUUGUUUUGUUUUGUUUUUUUGAGAUGGAGGCUCACUCUGUCGCCCAGGCUGGAGUGCAGUGGCGCGAUCUUGGCUCACUGCGAGCUCCGCCUCCUGGGUUCACACCUUUCUCCUGCCUCAGCCUCUCCGAGUAGCUGGGACUAUAGGCGCCUGCCACCAUGCUCGGCUAAAUUUUUUUUUUUUGUAUUUUUAGUAGAGACGCGGUUUCACCGUGGUCUUGAUCUCCUGAUCUUGUGAUCCACCCGCCUCGGCCUCCCAAAGUGCUGGGAUUACAAGUGUGAGCCACCGCGCCUGGCUGCAACUAUAAUGUUUUGCUAAGUUCUGUGAGUAGCUGUAUCAUUAUUUAACUUGAGAAGAUUAUGAGAGCCCCCAGUUUAUAGGAACUGGCUCAGAAGUAUAGAUGAGACCCUAGGAAUUGUGACUGGGAUCUGCAGUGGUGGCAGUGUUGUGGGACUGAGCCCUGAACUUGUAGGGUCUAUGCUGACUCAAGGAGGUAUCAGAAUUGAGUUAUUGGACAACCAGUUGGUGUUGGAGAAUUGGUUGCUGUUCAGCAAACUCCACACAUUUGUUGUCAGAAAAAGAAUAUCACAGAUAUUUGAGCUGGAGGGAGACUCUUGGUUUCUCUGGGAAGGGGAACUCUGUUCUGCACACAGGCUGUCACAAUGCACAUUGUCCUGUGAUUCCAGAUCUCUUCCCAGGGUGAAAGGGGACUGAGGGCUUGGAAGAAAGAAGUUCUGAAAACAGACUCCCUGCCCUCAACCUGCUACCACCAAUGAUUUCCGCCUACUAAUGAACAUACCCACUAGGAAUGGGUGUGGCCAGAAUCUUCACAAAACAAGAAGACUUGAUCUGAGGAAUUACUCUAUAGUGGCUUUACCUCUAAAAUUUCUCACCAAAGAAUUACACAAGUGCCUAGAGGACUCCUGGAUUAUCCCUACCACAAACCCUGAACCUGAAGCAGCAACCUGGUCUCUCUAUCACCCUGGGCUUGUGGACUACCAAUCAUAAUCUCAUCCACCUGCAUGGACACAGGAAUAUGUCAGAACAUAACCCUGCCUGAAUCAGUAUCUGUAGCAUAAACCAGUCUUUCCAGCUACCAUGCACUGUCCCCCACUCACGGGUCCUUGAUAGCACCUUUCCCUCUUCUGUCUUUUGCUUUUCUACAAACCCUUUCUGAUGUGCACAGUGUGCCUCAGGUGCCUGAAUCCAGCACCUACUGGGAGUCAGAUGUCCAUGAGUUCAAGAUUAUAGCCCUAGACCUGGCUGUCAUAAGAACAGACAAAAAUUAGAAAUACAGUCUUCAUCCUUGAAAAUAAAAGAUUUUUCUCUUUCCUUUUCUUAAAGCAUUUACUUUAGAAAACUUUUGUAUUUAUUUAUUUUUAUGUUUUUUUUGAGACUGAGUCUUGCUCUGUCACCCAGGCUGGAGUGCAGUGGCACAAUCUCGGCUUACUGCAACCUCCACCUCCUGGGCUCAAGCAGUUCUCCUGCCUUAUCCUCCCAAGUAGCUGAGAUAACAGGCGUGCACUACAAUGCCCGGCUAAUUGUUUUUUUAUUUUUUAUUUUUUUUGAGAUGUAGUUUCGCUCUUGUCCCCCAGGCUGAAGUGCAGUGGUGUGAUCUCGGCUCACCGCAACCUCCACCUCCCAGGUUCAAGCGAUUCUCCUGCCUUAACCUCCUGAGUAGCUGGGAUUACAGGCAUGUGCCACCACGCCCAGCUAAUUUUGUAUUUUUCAUAGAGAUGGGGUUUCUCCAUGUUGGUCAGGCUGGUCUCGAGCUCCCGACCUCAGGUGAUCCACCUGCCUCGGCCUCCCAGAGUGCUGGGAUUAUAGGCGUGAGACAUCACACCUGGCCCUAAUUUUUUGUACUUUUAGUAGAGAUGGAAUUUCACCAUGUUGACUGGGCUGGUCUCGAACUCCUGACCUCAGGUAAUGCACCCGCCUCGGACUCCAAAAGUCCUGGGAUUACAAGCGUGAGCCACUGUACCUGGCCAGAAAACUUUUAUAUAAUUCUUUUCUGCCUACUUGAAAUAGAUACAAAUUAUUCUAACUGCUAAAUAGGCUUUUUGUCAGUAUUUUUGACUCAGGACUGUUUUUAGAACCUAGGAAUCAUUUAUUUAAAAUGUAAAUAGCAAAGAAAAUAGAACUUUAUUCCAUUUUCUGUUGGAAGAUAGGAGUUUACCUUCAGCACAGUCCUGGUUCCAAGUUUCAAAACUACCUCUCAUGAAGACAUUAGUUUAUUUUUCCUUUAAUUAUAGCCAAUUAGCAACCAAAGAAGACCUCCAAUUUUUAGGUGAAUUUAAGAUAAACUGUAUGUGACCAAUGGUGCUGUCAGUUCUUCUACUUGAGAACUAAUUAUGGUGGCUAUUUGCAAUUGAGUGUCUUUGCAAUCUCUUAGCAGUUUGCUUAUAAUGGCCUUCACAUUCUGGAGUAAUUCUGUAAUAAUUUUUUUUUCUCUUCUCCAGUUGUGUAUAAUUUUUCUGAGGCUUCAGAUAAUUCUGUUUAUAAUUAUGUUUCUCUAAGUUUGUCCAGAAUUACUAAACAGGAUAUGAACACAUACUGUGCCCACCAUGCUUCAUUCUGUAUGGACCAGUCACAACAUACAAUUGUGCAAUUGGGCUUCCAUUCACAACACACAAUUGUGCAGUAAAGUGCACACUGCCCUCAAAGUCUGCAGGCAGAAUGGCCUUUCUUCGUAUUUGGGAUCUGCAAUCAUUAAUAGCAUACUUUUACCAGAUUUCUACGAAAAUUACUACAGGGCAACAAUUAACUAUUCCAGCUCUGUCUUUCUAUCCCCCUGGCAUCUUCAGAUGCGAAAUUCUUUCAAAUACCAUUUGGCCUGAAAACUCAACCAGGUUCACACAUUUGCAUUGAGUAAGCCUGAGAAUCUAAACAUUUUGCUUAUUCUCUUGUCCAAAUGCCUAUGCAUGUGGCAAGGGUGCCUUUGGCUUGCUUUUCUGCCCUCCUAAACCUAAAUCUGCAGUUCCAAAUUUUGAGUCCAGCUAAUAGGGUUCUCCAUUCUGUGUUGGAGCAGUCUUCAUGUGGGGAUUUCUCCUCUACUUUUCCUCUCCUCACUGUAACACAAUAUGGAGCCAAGUUAAUGGUACCUAGAAUCCACACAUAAGGGCUGAAAUCCACCUGGGAUUAACAAGACAGGGCCAGGCUUUGGAUCUUGUCCAGUGAAAUUUUGAGAUUGUGUGAGGAGCUCCUGGUAUAAACUGAAUCUGGUGGCAGAAUCUCUAAGUGUAAAGAAGCAUGUUAGCCAAGGGAAGUUAGGGCCACAACUGUCCAGAGCCAUGAAUGCAUGAAUGCAACCCCAUCUCCUAUGUGUGAGUUGUAUUACUGGAGAAAGUUUUUUUGUUGUUGUUUUUUAUUUGUUUAUUUUUUUAUGAGACAGAGUCUCUGUCUGUUGCCAGGCUGGAGUGCAGUGGCGUGACCUUGGCUCACUGCAACCUCUGCCUCCCUGGUUCAAGUGAUUCUCCUGCCUCAGCCUCCCAAGUAGCUGGGAUUACAGGCUCUCAUUUCUUGAUACUUGGGUGAAGAACAAGUAGGAGGUCUGGAGGCUCAAACUGAUAUGUAAACAAAUUGCUUUUAUUAUUAUUAUUUGCCAUUAGAAAAACAGGUGAAACAGUCAUGGACUCUACUAUUCAGGAAUUAUUAUUCUAGAGCCAGUAAAUACAUGGUUGAAUUAAGAGUAAUGUGAUCAGAAUGAAGAAGGGAGUUGCACAGAAGACUUGGGCUUUAUUUGGGACACUGCUCUUAUGUUGUUGUGAGUUCUGAUGUCACCACCUGAAGGGACAUCAUAGACAGAAGAGUUGUUACAAUUAUUUCUGUUGCUUUUCCCUUGUUAAGAAUCGUUUCUAAUAUAGUUUUUCUAGAAAGUACUACAUGUUUUGGUUAAGUCGGUUGUUAGUGUGUCAUGCAAAAUAGAGAAGAGGCUUAAACCAUUAAAAUCAGAAAAAUUCUGGGAGUCAAGUUCUUGUUGGUCCAGCUUAGAAAAGAUAGAACACAAAAUAAGCCAGCAGCACAGAGAAGAGAAGCUGAGGGCCAACUCCCUGCCCCAGCCCUAUCCAGACCUAUGCUCUAUGAGCCUUGUCCAGGUCUGGCCCCACCCUGAAAUCUCCCCUCACAGAACUAAUUAGAACUAAUUACAGGAGAUCAGACUCCUGUUUGGAACAACUAUUGGAUCUGCAGAAGUGUAAAACGGGUGUCUACCCUUGGUGUUUCUUCAGAGCUGGAGCUCAGAAUUUUUCCAAACCUAAAAGCAAAUAAAUGAGAGCAAAGGAGUAUACAUUUGGAAUCUUAAUGUCUUUCUUUCUCAAUGAAACCAGUGCUUACAUUUUACACAGCAACCUGUUUUACACUUCUGCAGAUCCAAUAAUUGUUCCACAGUCAUGAGAAAGUAAAUAGAAACACAACAAUUAAAAGUCUCUCUACUUAUCCCUUCCUUUCUAUAUCCCUCCCAUCUGUCUGUAUUUAGCUUUUAUAGUGAUAGGGAAACCAGAAGAAAUAGCCUAAGCCAUCAUCUAAAUCCUACUGGGAAUUAUGAGACACUUAGUACCCACCUUUCAAAAUUUUUUGAGGCUUAACCGACACAAUGCGAGUUUCCCAGCACAGCACAUUACAGCAUACAUGGUGAGCACAUAGUACAAGCUCAAUAAACACUGUAUUAAUGUAUGUGUACAUGUUGUUCAAAUGCAGAUGUAGACAUUACUACAUUCUCCAGCCUCUGUAAACUUUAAAAAGCUGGCAAAGCAUGUGAUCCUCUGAGACAGUGACUUGUGGUCUUCACUGUAACAAAAAGUAUUUGUGUUGCAAUAAAGGUAUUAGAUGUAAGGGACUCUGUGUGCUAUACUUUCUCUGAGUGCUGGAGAGCAACAUCAGCAUUAACAGGGAACUUUCGAUAAAGAAGCCAAUUUCUGGACCCCUCCAAAACCUGCAGAAUCACAU